rnacentral:rRNA from 1 species
GAUGAACGCUGGCGGCGUGCCUAAUACAUGCAAGUCGAGCGAACAGACGAGGAGCUUGCUCCUCUGACGUUAGCGGCGGACGGGUGAGUAACACGUGGAUAACCUACCUAUAAGACUGGGAUAACUUCGGGAAACCGGAGCUGAUACCGGAUAAUAUAUUGAACCGCAUGGUUCAAUAGUGAAAGACGGUUUUGCUGUCACUUAUAGAUGGAUCCGCGCCGCAUUAGCUAGUUGGUAAGGUAACGGCUUACCAAGGCAACGAUGCGUAGCCGACCUGAGAGGGUGAUAGGCCACACUGGAACUGAGACACGGUCCAGACUCCUACGGGAGGCAGCAGUAGGGAAUCUUCCGCAAAGGGCGAAAGCCUGACGGAGCAACGCCGCGUGAGUGAUGAAGGUCUUCGGAUCGUAAAACUCUGUUAUUAGGGAAGAACAAAUGUGUAAGUAACUAUGCACGUCUUGACGGUACCUAAUCAGAAAGCCACGGCUAACUACGUG